GCAUUCAUUUCCCUAAGCAUUUUGUUUAUGACAUUUGCUCAGCGCUUACGCCUAAAUGCAUUUUUAGUUGCUCCCAGCGACUGUUUAGUGGCUCACAGCAUUGUGCUAAACGAUUAAUUGUAAUUGUUAAAUACAAAAUGUAACUACGAAGACAUCAACUAGACCAAUAUUAUCCUUUAUUAUUGAUGAAGAGUUUUAUUUUUUUGCGCAAAAUAAAAACAAUCUUUAUUUUAUGACUUUGCUAUGCAUUUCUUUCGACGUGCUAUUAAAUUAUUUCCUGCAACACAUAAAUAAUGCGCCUGGGCGGCGAAUGUGGAGGGAAUGUAAUUAUGCAGCUAAUUGUACAAUUAAUGGAGGAUGCCGACCACACAAUGGGAACUGGGUAAAAAGUCGUGUGAGUCUUUACAUAUUUCUGUUAUAUAUGUGCAUAGUCAUGGCCGAAGGGCAUUGCAAGUCUACACAGAGAGAGAGAGAGAGAGAGAGAGAGCGAAUGUGAAAGAGAGAAAUGCUCACGUUCCGAAAUGACUCGCUGUCUGAUGCGAACCAAUUUAAAGCGGUUCGAACUGAACGAAAAUAAAAUAAGUAUGACGACAACGGUGCGUAUACGUGUUGCCAAUAAACGCAACAGUCUACUCACAGUCAAUCCAUCCCCCAGAGGAGAUGCAGAGAGCGAUGCGAGGGAUGCGUGAUGUAUCGCCUACGCGCACGUGAGGAUACGUUUUGGUCUGACGAUCAGCAAAUGAACGAAACUUGCGCCUUGAGCGAUCGAUGGCAAAUAAAGCGAACGAACAUCAACUGAACGAAACUUGACGAAAGCAGCCAGGAACGAAACGAACCAAGGAGCAAAAAUAUAAAGGACCGAACGAAAUGUAACGAAACGAAACGCAACGAAACGAUAAAAUGAAACACACUUUUUUUGGCAACUAUAUUUCCUUUCGGUUUCGGGUCCAGAGUGCGUCUGUGCUUGGUAUUUUUCCAUUGGAAAAUCACGCAACAAACAAAAAGAAUACAAAAGAUGAAUAACAACAAAAAUAACAGCAAAUUGUUGAAAAGUGCCUCGAAAACAAAAUAGAAAGAGUCCAACGACACAAAGAGAGUGUGAGCGAGAGAGAGGCACAGCAAGAGAGAGGCAAAGAGAAUGUUUUCAAAUCGAAAAAUGAACAAGAAUUUCAAUUUAGUACAGAUUGUAUCGCGUUUUUAUUUUGUUUUGUCUAUAUUUUGACUGUUCUUAACUUUGAAUUCCUCAUGUGAUAUACCCUAGAUUGUGGCCACUGGGGCAUGAAGGUCGCCAAGUCUAUUCGUUGAUUUAUUUCCUCAUCCUCGGCGUCCUUAAUCAAGUAUAAUCAUAUUUUGGCACUUAUAUAAUCGAGUGUGAGCAUUGCAUAUGGCGGCAACCUGUUUGAUCCGGAUUUACCAGUUUCCGCAAGUGCGUCCCUGCCUAUCUCGAUGAGUCUGUUUGAAUGUUUGAGUGUUUGAGUGUCUGUGCCUGCCCAACUGCGUCAGAGAGCAGCAAUCGAAGUGUCAUCCAAAAAUAGAUCACAUAUCGAACCAUUAAUUCUAUUAAAAUAAAGCCAACAACAAUGAUCCCUCGCAGUUAUAGCAACAUAUGUAGCAGCAUGUCUGCUCAUAAAUAAAUACUAUACCCUAUACUCUGUAUGCUCGGACAUACCGCAGACGACAAUUGGGACAAUGGACGACAUCAACAGUGGCCCAGUCCCGUUGCCAUAUGCUCAUUUGUCAUACCCUAUUUAUGGGUAUUUCGAUUGGGUAGCAACUGCUUCUUGAGAGAAGAACACAGUUGGGAACGAAGUGGACGGGAAUGAAAAGGACUGGAAUGAAGUAGAAAGGAUAGAAUGGAAAAGACUGGAAUGAAAUAGGAAAUAGGAAGGAUUGGAAAAGAAUAGAAUAAAGUAUAUUGAAAUAGAAAUGAUUGGAAUGAACUGGAAAGGACUGGAAAGAACUGAAAUGAA